GUCCACGCCCUAAACGAUGCGCACUAGAUCGAGGAGAGUGACAUCCCCUUGGUCGAAGCAAAAGUGUUAAGUGCGCCGCCUGGGGAGUACGGUCGCAAGGCUAAAACUCAAAGGAAUUGACGGGGGCUCACACAAGCGGUGGAGCAUGUGGCUUAAUUCGAAGCAACGCGAAGAACCUUAUCCUAGGCUUGACAUGCAUGGAUUAACUUCCUGAAAGGGAAGCCACGCCCUCUGGGUGGAACAUGCACAGGUGCUGCAUGGCUGUCGU
rnacentral:rRNA from 1 species